rnacentral:rRNA from 1 species
UAGGGAAUCUUCGGCAAUGGACGGAAGUCUGACCGAGCAACGCCGCGUGAGUGAAGAAGGUUCUCGGAUCGUAAAGCUCUGUUGUUUGAGAAGAACGUUGGUAGGAGUGGAAAAUCUACCAAGUGACGGUAACUAACCAGAAAGGGACGGCUAACUACGUGCCAGCAGCCGCGGUAAUACGUAGGUCCCGAGCGUUGUCCGGAGUUAUUGGGCGUAAAGCGAGCGCAGGCGGUUCUUUAAGUCUGAAGUUACAGGCAGUGGCUUAACCAUUGUACGCUUUGGAAACUGGAGUGCUUGGGUGCAGAAGGGGGGAGUGGAAUUCCAUGUGUAGCGGUGAAGUGCGUAGAUAUAUGGGGGAACACCGGUGGCGAAAGCGGCUCUCUGGUCUGUAACUGGCGCUGAGGCUCGAAAGCGUGGAGAGCAAACAGG